ensembl:snoRNA
AUCCAUGUAGAAAUGUCUGUUCCUCAUUCCUUUGGGAGCAGAAAUACGUUCAUACCACGCUACAUUAAUAAAGGAGUUCUUAAGGCUGCCAGCCUUGUAGUAGAAGCUGAAGGGUGGUAUGUUUCUUCUACAUAA